rnacentral:rRNA from 1 species
AACGAACGCUGGCGGCACGCCUAACACAUGCAAGUCGAACGAAGCAACGGGCUUCGGCUCGUUGACUGAGUGGCGGACGGGUGAGUAACGCGUGGGAACCUGCCUCAUGGUGGGGGAUAACAGUUGGAAACGACUGCUAAUACCCCAUAAGCCCUACGGGGGAAAGAUUUAUUGCCAUGAGAUGGGCCCGCGUUGGAUUAGGUUGUUGGUGAGGUAACGGCUCACCAAGCCAAUGAUCCAUAGCUGGUCUUAGAGGAUGAUCAGCCACACUGGGACUGAGACACGGCCCAGACUCCUACGGGAGGCAGCAGUGGGGAAUAUUAGACAAUGGGGGAAACCCUGAUCUAGCGAUGCCGCGUGAGUGAUGAAGGCCUUAGGGUUGUAAAGCUCUUUCACUGGUGACGAUGAUGACGGUAACCAGAGAAGAAGCCCCGGCUAACUCCGUG